rnacentral:rRNA from 1 species
AUACGGAGGGUGCGAGCGUUAUCCGGAUUUAUUAGGUUUAAAGGGUGUGUAGGCGGGAGCCUAAGUCAGUGAUGAAAUCUCACAGCUUAACUGUGAAACUGCCAUUGAAACUGGGUUUCUUGAGUAUAGUUGAGGUAGGCGGAAUGUGUAAUGUAGCGGUGAAAUGCAUAGAUAUUACACAGAACACCGAUUGCGAAGGCAGCUUACUAAGCUAUUACUGACGCUGAUGCACGAAAGCGUGGGUAGCGAACAGGAUUAGAAACCCGGGUAGUCC